UACUGGUGUAAGGGUGUAGGUAGUCCGGGUAGGCAAAUCCGCCUGGAUGUUGAUCUGAGACCUGAUGCAUAGCCGAUUGAGGCGAAGUAGAGUGAUCCUAUGCUGUCGAGAAAAGCCUCUAGCGAGCUCUGAGCGGCCCGUACCCCAAACCGACACAGGUGGUCAGGUAGAGAAUACCGAGGUGAUCGGGCGAACUGUGGUUAAGGAACUCGGCAAAAUACCCCCGUAACUUCGGGAGAAGGGGGGCCGAGGUGUGUGAAGCCCCUUGCGGGCUAGCAUGUUUCGGCCGCAGAGACCAGGGAGAAGCGACUGUUUACUAAAAACACAGGUCCAUGCUAAGUCGCAAGACGAUGUAUAUGGACUGACGCCUGCCCGGUGCUGGAAGGUUAAGAGGACCGGUUAGUUCCUUCGGGAGCGAAGCUGAGAAUUUAAGCCCCAGUAAACGGCGGUGGUAACUAUAACCAUCCUAAGGUAGCGAAAUUCCUUGUCGGGUAAGUUCCGACCUGCACGAAUGGCGUAACGACUUCUCUACUGUCUCAACCACAGGCCCGGCGAAAUUGCACUACGAGUAAAGAUGCUCGUUACGCGCGGCAGGACGGAAAGACCCCGGGACCUUUACUAUAGCUUGGUAUUGGUGUUCGGUUCGACUUGUGUAGGAUAGGUGGGAGACUGUGAAGCGAUCACGCCAGUGUUCGUGGAGUCAACGUUGAAAUACCACUCUGGUCGUACUGGACAUCUAACCUAGGUCCGUGAUCCGGAUCAGGGACAGUGCCUGGUGGGUAGUUUAACUGGGGCGGUUGCCUCCCAAAGAGUAACGGAGGCGCCCAAAGGUUCCCUCAGCCUGGUUGGCAAUCAGGUUUCGAGUGUAAGUGCACAAGGGAGCUUGACUGUGAGACAGACAUGUCGAGCAGGGACGAAAGUCGGGACUAGUGAUCCGGCGUCGGCUUGUGGAAGCGACGUCGCUCAACGGAUAAAAGGUACCCCGGGGAUAACAGGCUGAUCUUGCCCAAGAGUCCAUAUCGACGGCAUGGUUUGGCACCUCGAUGUCGGCUCGUCGCAUCCUGGGGCUGGAGUAGGUCCCAAGGGUUGGGCUGUUCGCCCAUUAAAGCGGCACGCGAGCUGGGUUUAGAACGUCGUGAGACAGUUCGGUCCCUAUCCGCCGCGCGCGUAGGAGUCUUGAGGAAGGCUGUCCCUAGUACGAGAGGACCGGGACGGACGAACCUCUGGUGUGCCAGUUGUUCCACCAGGAGCACGGCUGGUUGGCUACGUUCGGAAGGGAUAACCGCUGAAAGCAUCUAAGCGGGAAGCUCGUUCCAAGAUGAGGACUCCCACCCUUUGUGGGGUAAGGCCCCCGGCUAGACCACCGGGUUGAUAGGCCGGAAGUGGAAGCAC
rnacentral:rRNA from 1 species